rnacentral:rRNA from 1 species
GGCUCCUCGUAAAGAAAAAAUGGGGAGUCGGACCUGCCCAGUGAAAUUUUUUAACGGCCGCGGUACUCUGACCGUGCAAAGGUAGCAUAAUCAUUUGCCUUAUAAUUGAAGGCUAGUAUGAAUGGUUUGACAAGAGUAUAGCUGUCUCUUUAUGGUUUUAUAGAAUUUUAUAUCUGGGUGAAGAAGCCUAGCUAUAAUUAAAAGACAAGAAGACCCUAUCGAGCUUGAAAGAAAUUAAUAGGUUGUUUAUUAAAAUAUGACUAAAAAAUUUUCUGUUAAAAAUUUUAGUUGGGGCGACUAAGGAACAUAAAAAGCUUCCUCUUAAAUUUAGAUAUUUACAGAUAGUGAUCCAAAAGUUUUGAUUAAAGAAAUUAGUUACCGUAGGGAUAACAGCAUUAUCUUUUUUGAGAGUUCUUAUCGAAAAAAAGGUUUGUGACCUCGAUGUUGGACCAGAAUAUCCUAAAGAUGCAGCAGUCUUUAAGGGUUGGUCUGUUCGACCAUUAAAAUUCUACG